CUCUGAACUGCUCUCUGAGCCCCUCAGGGACCCGUGUCUCCUCCAUCCAGGACCCUUCGCCUCCAAGCAAGGCCCCUUCCAGGACACGAAGGGCAAAGAGAGACCUUUCUAAGAGGACUGCAACCCAGCAGCCUGAGGGGACCAGCCUCCAGCAGGACCCAGAAGCUCCCACAGUGCCCAAGAAGGGGAGGAGGAAGGGGCGACAGGCAGCCUCUGGCCACCGCAGACCCCGGAAGGUCAAGGCUGACACCCCAUCCUUGGAACCAGAGGGGACCUCAGCCUCUUAGCAGGAGGGUCUCCUUGCUUGCACUCACCCUUUCUUAUUGUCUUGCCCUGAAUCUGGGGGUCUGAAUUCUUGGGAGCAGGCAAUACCUGAAGGUGCAAACAGGCCCUACGGCUGUUCCCUGCACAACUCUCAUGGUUUUAAUUGUACCCCAUCUUCCAUAUCUUUAAAGCUCAUGUAAAAAAUGCUGCAUUUUUAAUAAACUGAUAAAUGUG
rnacentral:sRNA from 1 species